rnacentral:rRNA from 9 species
UUGAACAAUGUAGGCAAGGGAAGUCGGCAAAACAGAUCCGUAACUUCGGGAAAAUGAUAUGCUCUAAGGACUGGGCUCGGGGGUCCCGGCCCCGAACCCGUCGGCUGUCGGCGGAUUGCUCGAGCUGCUCACGCGGUUUCGAGGAUAUACCCCACGGCGUAAGCCGGUCGGAAGUAUAACCCGGCCGGACUUGGCGGUUUACUUGAGACCCGGUUGAGACUUGACGAUUCACUGGCGACCUGUUUGGACCUGGUGGUUUACGAUUCAUUGGUAAUCCGGUAGGCGGGUCAGAGGAGCGACAAGACCCAGUGGCCCAAUGGGCGGUUCAUGAAGGCCGGUUCAUACUAUGCUGGGCCGGUUUAAGAGGAAAGGCAUGACGAAUAUUUACCUUAAAGGAGUUAAGACCAGGACUUGUAUCCGGUUUGUAUUAGAGAUAGACUAGUCCUAAUCCUAAUAGGACUCCACCUGUAACCCAUCCCUUCAACAAAUAUAAGGAGGGCAGGGCUCCCCAAAGAGGACUAGCUACAAGCGACAAGAAGAAGAAAAUAAUCUCUAGGGGUAGACACAAAGAGCCGGCUUACCGACGACUCCCUCAUGAUCAUAAUGAGAUCUAGCCACAAACAACAUGUAGGGUUAUUACAGGAUGAUGUUUCCCAGGCCCGAAGCUGUCUAAACCCUUGUCUUGUAUUGCGUCUUUCGAUUCCGCUCAACCCCUCUCAAGCUACAACAUAGAUGCAUUGGCCUCGCGACUAAGUCCUCACACUAAGGACAUCUGCCGUGACAUCUGAGUGGCGGCUCAGGGCGAUGUGGUCUUAACUCCUUGUAAGGUAAAUAUUCGUCAUGCCUUUCCUCUUAAACCGGCCCACCAUAGUAUGAACCGGCCUUCAUGAACCGCCUGUUGAGCCAUCGGGUCUUGUUGCUCCUCUUACCCGCCUACUGGAUUACCAAUGAACCGUAAACCGCCAAGUCCAAAUGGGUCGCCAGUGAAUCAUCAAGUCUCAGCCGGGUCUCAAGUAAACCGCCAAGUCCGACCGGGUUAUACUUCCGACCGGCUUACGCCUUGGGGUAUAUCCCCGACACGCGCCGAGAGCGGGUCGCCGCGUGCCGGCCGGGGGACGGACUGGGAAUCGCCCCUUUGGGGGCUUUCCCCGAGCAUGAAACAGUCGACUCAGAACUAGUACGGACAAGGGGAAUCUGACUAUUUAAUUGAAACAAAGCAUUGCGAUGGUCCUCGCGGAUGCCGACGCAAUGUGAUUUCUGCCCAGUGCUCUGAAUGUCAAAGUGAAGAAAUUCAACCAAGUGCGGGUAAACGACGGGAGUAACUAUGGCUCUCUUAAGGUAGCCAAAUGCCUCGUCAUCUAAUUAGUGAUGCGCAUGAAUGGAUUAACGAGAUUCCCACUGUCCCUGUCUACUAUCCACCGAAACCACAGCCAAGGGAAUGGGCUUGG